rnacentral:rRNA from 1 species
AGUGGCGAACGGGUGAGUAAUACAUCGGAACGUGCCCUGUAGUGGGGGAUAACUAGUCGAAAGAUUAGCUAAUACCGCAUACGACCUGAGGGUGAAAGUGGGGGACCGCAAGGCCUCAUGCUAUAGGAGCGGCCGAUGUCUGAUUAGCUAGUUGGUGGGGUAAAGGCCCACCAAGGCGACGAUCAGUAGCUGGUCUGAGAGGACGAUCAGCCACACUGGGACUGAGACACGGCCCAGACUCCUACGGGAGGCAGCAGUGGGGAAUUUUGGACAAUGGGCGAAAGCCUGAUCCAGCAAUGCCGCGUGUGUGAAGAAGGCCUUCGGGUUGUAAAGCACUUUUGUCCGGAAAGAAAUGGCUCUGGUUAAUACCUGGGGUCGAUGACGGUACCGGAAGAAUAAGGACCGGCUAACUACGUGCCAGCAGCCGCGGUAAUACGUAGGGUCCAAGCGUUAAUCGGAAUUACUGGGCGUAAAGCGUGCGCAGGCGGUUGUGCAAGACCGAUGUGAAAUCCCCGAGCUUAACUUGGGAAUUGCAUUGGUGACUGCACGGCUAGAGUGUGUCAGAGGGGGGUAGAAUUCCACGUGUAGCAGUGAAAUGCGUAGAGAUGUGGAGGAAUACCGAUGGCGAAGGCAGCCCCCUGGGAUAACACUGACGCUCAUGCACGAAAGCGUGGGGAGCAAACAGGAUUAGAUACCCUGGUAGUCCACGCCCUAAACGAUGUCAACUAGUUGUUGGGGAUUCAUUUCCUUAGUAACGUAGCUAACGCGUGAAGUUGACCGCCUGGGGAGUACGGUCGCAAGGAUAAAACUCAAAGGAAAUUGACGGGGACCCGCACAAAGCGGUG